rnacentral:lncRNA from 1 species
GGCUGGAGCAACAACCAGAGGAUGAUCAGAUGCAGCAAGCAGCAAUGGUAGGCAGAGGAACACGGCCUCUGGACUGGUAUAGCAGAGCUGAAAAUAAGACCAAAGCAAGAAGGAAACCCACAUCCUUCAAUGUGCCAUGCAGCUUGCAGCUGGCUGAGCAAAGGCAAGAGCUGAACAGCAGGCCUGUGUUCUUAGGGAACAAGCUCAGAAACUGCUGGCCACCUUCAGAAACAGAUGGAAAAGCUGGAAAGGAAACGUGUUCCUGGAAAAAGCCCAUGUUGAGCUGGCAAAGCCACCAGGCUGUGGGCAACGAGGUGGACGGGAUGGUGCUCAUGGGUCAGGAGAGAAAAACAGCCACAGAGGCAGCCGUGAAGAAGGGAAGCUUCCUACCUAGUGUCACCUAUCCUGAGAAAAGAGAGCAAGUGGGCUCCUGGCCAAAGCCUCGAGAGCAGAGAGAUGGUAAGAAGGCACUGGCACCUGGGGAUGGGGAUGUAGGCAAUGGUAAGAGAGGGGGCCAGGUGUCCCAGCGAGUCGCUGCGUUCCAGCAGAGCAAGCUCCAGCUGAACAGAGGGUCAGGCUCAGCCUCCUCCCCUGUGCUCCUGGAACCUGUUAAACCUCUGUCUCGUGGCUUGCUCAGUUUCCACCAGGCUGCAUCUCAAUGCACUAAACCCACCAACUGGAUGUUCCUAGGGGACAAAAGGGGCUGCGUCCUGCCCACAGCAGAGCUCCCAGUGAGAGAAAAUGAAGUCUACGGGUCCUUCUCACCCAGCACACCCAGUGAAGGAGACACAAGGCCUGCAAUGACAGAUGACAAACCUGAACGGACCACUGCCAUUGCAGGAGACAAACAUCAUCUUGGAGAGGGAGUGAACAAUCCACAGCCUGCACGUGUGCCAGAAAGUCUUGAAACCAGAAACAACACAAAUAUGAAGCAAAAAUACAGAGAUGGGGGCGUUGAUCCCCCUGAACCCAAAGCUAAACACCAAGCCCCCCACAUCCCUGAUGUGCCAGGGACCCCCAGUGCAGCACCCAGCUCCCCAGAGCCAGGAGGGCUGAGUGCAUCAGCUGAGAUAGCUGAGCUGGUGAAUGAGACAUCAAAGAUAAAUGCUGAUCAGCUCCCAAGGAAGCAGACGACAGUCAUUGUGGAGGAGAACGUGCAGCCAUCCAGCAUAAGUCAUUUGCCUGGGGAAGAGAGUACAGGGGCAGAAUUUGAGAAGACAAACAAAAUGAAAGAAGUAAAUCCAUUAGGAUUUCUGGAAGAACCCAGUCCUGAUCACACAGCUCAGGAAAACAAACCAGAAAACAACAGAAUCUUUACACUUGGUUUGCCGGAGGUGACAAACGACCACGAUAUGUCCUGUCUACAAGAAACAGAACCUCAGGCCAUAUAUGGCCAACUGGUAACUAAAUCACAUAGCAAUAUUUUGGUACAUGAUGUAAAAUCAUCCAGCAAUGAUUCUCCAGUAUCAGCAGACAUGUCUUUGAAAAGAACCAGUUCCACUCGGCCCUCACACGAUGAAGUCAACAAUCCCAAACCAAAGGAUCUUAGUGAAGAUCUUCAAGGAAACAUCUUUCCCAUUUCUGAGCAACCAAUCGAGAAAUUAGAGUCUUCCAAAUCAAGUGUAUCCACAGACAAACAUAGAGGCCAUCCAGUGGGCAGAUUAAAAAUGGAUGUGAAACACUUAGAGGGAAGUGUUGUGGAUAAAUUGAGACCCACUGACAAAGAUAAAGAGACCAGAAGCAGUCAAG